ACGAACGCUGGCGGCAUGCCUUACACAUGCAAGUCGAACGGUAGAGGGGCAACCCUUGAGAGUGGCGAACGGGUGAGUAAUAUAUCGGAACGUGCCCAGUCGUGGGGGAUAACGCAGCGAAAGCUGCGCUAAUACCGCAUACGAUCUAUGGAUGAAAGCGGGGGAUCGCAAGACCUCGCGCGAUUGGAGCGGCCGAUAUCAGAUUAGGUAGUUGGUGGGGUAAAAGCCCACCAAGCCGACGAUCUGUAGCUG
rnacentral:rRNA from 1 species